rnacentral:rRNA from 1 species
GUGAGGAAUAUUGGUCAAUGGGCGAGAGCCUGAACCAGCCAAGUCGCGUGAAGGAAGACGGCCCUACGGGUUGUAAACUUCUUUUGCAAUGGAAUAAAAAGAGUUACGUGUAAUUCAUUGUAUGUACAUUGCGAAUAAGGAUCGGCUAACUCCGUGCCAGCAGCCGCGGUAAUACGGAGGAUCCGAGCGUUAUCCGGAUUUAUUGGGUUUAAAGGGUGCGUAGGCGGAUUGGAAAGUCAGCGGUGAAAGUUUGCAGCUUAACUGUAAAAUUGCCAUUGAAACUGUCAGUCUUGAGUGCAAAGGAGGUAGGCGGAAUGUGUUGUGUAGCGGUGAAAUGCAUAGAUAUAACACAGAACACCAAUUGCGAAGGCAGCUUACUGGGAUGCAACUGACGCUGAGGCACGAAAGCGUGGGGAUCAAACAGGAUUAGAUACCCGUGUAGUCC